rnacentral:rRNA from 1 species
AUUGAACGCUGGCGGCAUGCUUUACACAUGCAAGUCGAACGGUAACAGGGAGCUUGCUCCGCUGACGAGUGGCGAACGGGUGAGUAAUGCGUCGGAACGUGCCGAGUAGUGGGGGAUAACGCAGCGAAAGUUGUGCUAAUACCGCAUACGUACUGAGGUAGAAAGUGGGGGACCUUCGGGCCUCACGCUAUUCGAGCGGCCGACGUCUGAUUAGCUAGUAGGUGAGGUAAAGGCUCACCUAGGCGACGAUCAGUAGCGGGUCUGAGAGGAUGAUCCGGCACACUGUGGCGGAGACACGGCGCAGACUCCUACGGGAGGCAGCAGUGGGGAAUUUUGGAGAAUGGGCGAAAGCCUGAUCCAGCCAUGCCGCGUGUCUGAAGAAGGCCUUCGGGUUGUAAAGGACUUUUGUCGGGGAGGAGAUCCCCAGCGCUAAUACCGCUGGGGGAUGACAGUACCUGAAGAAUAAGCACCGGCUAACUACGUGCCAGCAGCCGCCGUAAUAC